rnacentral:sRNA from 1 species
AGUUGGUAGUCACUGUAGGAUCCUUUGAAUUAACGAGGCUUGUCUCCUCAACCCUUAGCACUUCACUUAGAGCUUUCCAAAUCAUAAUGUGUAGAGAAAGUAUCUUACAGUAAUUCACUGAAAUUUUGUUUUGGUGGCAUUUCCAGUUCAUCCAAACUUCUCUCGAACAUAUCUAAAACCUGGGUUAUUGUCGGCCGAUGCAUAGGCAAUACUUGUACACACCACAAACCAAUUAAAGUCAUCUUUUUGGCUAUUUGCUCAACCUCACUUGUGACUUCACAAGCUUGUAAUCCAUCAUCCAGAGCAAAGUGGUCAUAAAUCCAAUCUGGAAAAUACUUUUCACUUGAAUUUUCAACCAUUGACUUAGCAUUCUUCCGGCCUCCGACCAUCUCUAGCAACAUCAUUCCGUAACUAUAAACAUCUGACUUUGUUGAAACAAUUCCAAAGGAUCGAUAGAUCACUUCAGGAGCGAUAAAUCCAAUUGUUCCUCUAGCACCUGUCAUUGAAAGCUUGCUCUCCUUGGUGCGGCACAGUUUGGCUAAACCAAAAUCAGCAAUCUUUGGGCAAAAAUCCUGGUCUAGAAGGAUAUUCUGAGGCUUUAUAUCGAAAUGGAUGAUUCGUGUGUUACAACUAUGGUGCAAGUAUUCUAGCCCACGAGCAAUCCCGAUUGCGAUUCCGUAAAGUUUUUCCCACCCUAGAAUUUCUUUGGGAUUUUCUGAAUAGAUAUAAUCGUCUAGUGAACCAUUGGGCAUGUACUCGUAAAGAAGAGCUCGUUUUGACCCCUCCAAACAAAACCCAAAUAAGCUAACAAUAUUAAUAUGAGAGGUCCUGCCAAUGCUCAUAACCUCAUUCACAAAUUCCUCUCCAUUUCCUUUUGAGUCAUGUAAGAAUUUCACCGCAACCAGACGACCAUCUUGUAACCUUCCUUUGAAUACAACACCAUAACCUCCUUCUCCAAGCUUAUAAUUAAGAAAUGAUGUUAUCUUUGUUACUUCUGAAUACUUGUAUCUUGUUGGAGCUAUUGAUCCAUAAGAUAUUAUGAGGGCCUCAAUGUUCCUUUCACUGGUGCUGCUAGUCUUUGUGUAAAGGAAAUACCGUAGUUGUUUCCCCUUCCCAUGCCAUAUUAGCACAUAUAUACAUGGCAAGAGCAAGCCUGCAGCUGCUGCUGUCAAAACUGAGAUUAAAACACAUGUUAUUUCCU